UAAGCACAAUCUUCUCGUUGAUUUAAUGCAUGUUAUAUUUUCCAUCCUCUCCACAGAAUAUGACAACAUUGUCUUCAUAUGGCUGUUUGUAUGCAUUAUCUAACUGAAGUUGUGUGUGGUUUUUCUGUUGCACAUUUAAGAAACUUACUAUUUCUUUUGGUCUAAAUCUUACUUUACAGUUUUACGUCUCCAGUUUUCCCUGAGGUCCAAAAUAUUCAGUGGAGUGAAACUGUUGAUGGCAGCAAAAUGUAACAAGCUUGUCCUGGAGGACUGCUCUGAUGGGGAAUGCUGUGGAGGAGAGACAGGCAGACUGUGGUCCAUCGUGUGUGCUCCCAGUGCGUUAAUACACGGACAGUCCUUUUUAAGUGCAACCAGAGGAAUAAUGUGAUUGAGAGGAAGAGUGGCCCCAUACAUUGCUUGACCUGGAGCCUACCAAAGUCUAAGGUCUCAGGUGUCUCCAGAAGAACACAUCCCAAUGAAGACCCCAGUCAUAGUCAUCAACUUGACAGCUCAGCCUGUUACUUGAACUGUGUUCUUAG